rnacentral:rRNA from 1 species
AUGGAGGGGAAGAAUAGAGCAGCCGCCAUUGCUGCCCUGUGCAUGCUCCUUCUCCUCGCGCAGCCAAAGCCAUCCCAUCAGCAGCCCUCUGGAGUCAACUGCAUGUGUUACCGGCAGUGCUACCCCGGGUGCAGGCAGAGCGUCCCUUGGUGGCUCUGCAACGUCAACUGUGCUGGCAACUGCGACGUCGGCGACAGGGAGGACUCCCUUGCCGCGUGCAUCAUGGUCUGCAGCACGGACUCCGUCUGCGGC